rnacentral:rRNA from 1 species
UACGUAGGGGGCAAGCGUUGUCCGGAAUCAUUGGGCGUAAAGAGCGUGUAGGCGGUUCGGUAAGUCGGCUGUGAAAGUCCAGGGCUCAACCCUGGGUUGCCGGUCGAUACUGCCGGACUAGAGUUCGGAAGAGGCGAGUGGAAUUCCCGGUGUAGCGGUGAAAUGCGCAGAUAUCGGGAGGAACACCUAUGGCGAAGGCAGCUCGCUGGGACGUUACUGACGCUGAGACGCGAAAGCGUGGGGAGCAAACAGG